rnacentral:misc_RNA from 1 species
AACGCAUAUUGCGCUCGAGGCUUCGGCCGAGAGCAUGUCUGCCUCAGCGUCGGGUUAAUAUCAUCAACACCUAUACUAGUUGGUAUAAGUGCUUUGAUGGACCUGGCUGUUCCAGAGAAAGGGGGUGAUGUAUCCUGCCUAUGGACUUCAUUGACCAUGGGUCAGAUCAUUGCCAUUAGUCCUGCUGGAUCAGCUGAAGUAAAGAGACUAGCCAAGGACCCUUAUUAAGGGCCGCAACUGGGUAGGCAGCUUCACGGCUUGCUAUCAUGCUUAGUUGUUGGCCUGGGACCAUGCGCUAAAGUCCUAAACCAGGAAAUUAACCCCUACUAUUAUCUCGACCUGAGCUCAGGCAAGAACACCCGCUGAACUUAA